UCGCGUCUGUCGUGAANUCCUCUGGCUUAACUGGGGGCUUGCGGUGGGUACGGGCCGGCUUGAGUGCGGUAGGGGAGGCUGGAACUCCUGGUGUAGCGGUGGAAUGCGCAGAUAUCAGGAAGAACACCGGUGGCGAAGGCGGGUCUCUGGGCCGUUACUGACGCUGAGGAGCGAAAGCGUGGGGAGCGAACAGGAUUAGAUACCCUGGUAGUNCACGCCGUAAACGUUGGGCACUAGGUGUGGGGGGCCUUUUCCGGGUUUUCCGCGCCGUAGCUAACGCAUUAAGUGCCCCGCCUGGGGAGUACGGCCGCAAGGCUAAAACUCAAAGGAAUUGACGGGGGCCCGCACAAGCGGCGGAGCAUGCGGAUUAAUUCGAUGCAACGCGAAGAACCUUACCAAGGCUUGACAUGUGCCGGUCGGCUCCGGAGACGGGGUUUCCUCCUUGUGGGGCCGGUUCACAGGUGGUGCAUGGUUGUCGUCAGCUCGUGUCGUGAGAUGUUGGGUUAAGUCCCGCAACGAGCGCAACCCUUGUCUCGUGUUGCCAGCACGUUGUGGUGGGGACUCGCGGGAGACUGCCGGGGUCAACUCGGAGGAAGGUGGGGAUGACGUCAAAUCAUCAUGCCCCUUAUGUCUUGGGCUUCACGCAUGCUACAAUGGCCGGUACAGAGGGCUGCGAUACUGUGAGGUGGAGCGAAUCCCUUAAAGCCGGUCUCAGUUCGGAUCGGUGUCUGCAACUCGACACCGUGAAGUUGGAGUCGCUAGUAAUCGCAGAUCAGCAACGCUGCGGUGAAUACGUUCUCGG
rnacentral:rRNA from 1 species